rnacentral:tRNA from 1 species
UGAUGGGUCGUCUAAAGGUAGAACAUCAGGUUCUUGUCCUGUGAAACGAAAUUCGAGUCUUUGCCUAUCAG